rnacentral:rRNA from 1 species
CUCGCCAAAAUACCUCCGUAAGUGCGCGAGAAGGAGGCCCGGGUCCUACGCAAGUGGAAUCCGGGGGCACAAACCAGGGGGUGGCGACUGUUUAUUAAAAACACAGGGCUCUGCGAAGUCGUAAGACGACGUAUAGGGUCUGACGCCUGCCCGGUGCCUGAAGGUUAAAAGGAGGGGUGCAAGCUCUGAAUUGAAGCCCAGGGAAACGGCG